UGCCAGCCGCCGCGGUAAGACGAACCGUCCAAACGUUAUUCGGUAUCACUGGGCGUAAAGCGCGCGUAGGCGGCUAUUUAAGUCAGAUGUGAAAGUCCACGGCUCAACCGUGGAAGUGCAUUUGAAACUGGAUAGCUUGAGUACUGGAGGGGGUGGUGGAAUUCCCGGUGUAGAGGUGAAAUUCGUAGAUAUCGGGAGGAAUACCGGUGGCGAAGGCGACCACCUGGCCAGAUACUGACGCUGAGGUGUGAAAGCGUGGGGAGCAAACAGGAUUAGAUA
rnacentral:rRNA from 1 species